GACGAACGCUGGCGGCGUGCUUAACACAUGCAAGUCGAACGGACUUUAUUAAGGAGCUUGCUCCGAGAUAAAGUUAGUGGCGGACGGGUGAGUAACGCGUGGGCAACCUACCCUUAAAACCGGGACAACAGUUGGAAACGACUGCUAAUACCGGAUACGCUUCUUGAGUGACAUCGCUUAAGAAGGAAAGAUGGCCUCUGAAUAUGCUAUCGAUUAAGGAUGGGCCCGCGUCUGAUUAGCUAGUUGGUAAGGUAACGGCUUACCAAGGCGACGAUCAGUAGCCGGCCUGAGAGGGUGAUCGGCCACACUGGGACUGAGACACGGCCCAGACUCCUACGGGUGGCAG
rnacentral:rRNA from 1 species